rnacentral:pre_miRNA from 1 species
AAUAAGUGCAGCCGUGGAUAUCCGUGCCCAACGUUUGACCGUCCGUCUUAUUUGAAAAAUUUGUGAAAAAUUUGAAAAUAUUUAGUCACAUAUAAAGUACUAUUCAUGUUUUAUCAUCUAAUAGCAAUAAAAAUACUAAUCAUAAAAAAUUUUCAAAUAAGACGAAUGGUCAAACGUUAAACGUGAAUAGUGCAAAACUGCAUUUAUU